AGGGAUGUAGGUAGCUUGAUGCAGCCUUAUCCUUGGUUACUCCCAUCUCUGACUUCCUCACUCUGAUGUGCUCUGCCUCUAACUGCUCUGCACUUAGACUGAAAUGAUGACCAUCAAGGCAUUGAUUGUUUUCCCUUCACUGGGUGUCUGGCUUUGGUUUCAGCAUGGGUUGGAACAUGGUAUUAAAGCUAUAUCCACUAGAGAAGGACAUGAGAUUGACUACAUAUAUUCUUUAGUAUUCUACUUCUGAAAUUAGUUUUAGUAAAUAUAUUUCUGUAGUGAUGUUUAUGAUUUAUUAAAGCUUGCCUUAGGAUUCAGAAAGCAAAGUCAGCCACAAGCCAUAGAAGCCAGGCACAUACUUUUAAUCCUAGGACUCAGGAUUGAGAGGUAGAAGAAUCUCUCUGAGUUCAAGGCCACCCAGGGAUACAUGAGAUUGAAUCAGUUUAAAAGAGUAACAGAUCACAUGCCUUUAAUUGCAGAGAGGGAUAUAAAAGAUAGAAGCAGAGUCUUCGGUAUUAAGUAGGAGGCAUUUAUUUUCCAGCCACAUUGAGGAUUCUCCAGCCUCUCUGAGGAGAGGCAGCAGGAUCAGCCCAUUCAGUCCCCCACAGCCAGACAUUGCGAAGACAAUGAGCAACCUUGGAACACUCUGCCCUAAAUGGGAUGUCUCCAUCAAUUCCCUCCUCUCAGGGCCCAAGGACUCUUCAUUUGACCCAAGCAGAAUAGGGAAAUAAGUUUCUGCUCUCCUCUUGUCCACAGUGUGAAGAGUCCAUUGCAGCAGUUGAGGUCUCCACUUCUCAGGCCUGGAAUCAUAGGAACAUUCGAACACGCUGGCAUCGUGCACCCUCUCGUCCUGCUACCCCAAGAGAGACUUCUCUUCCUAGUCAGCCACUCUAUGUAUACCUGGGGUAUUGCUUUUGAGUGAACCUGAAGUACAAAUGAUCUCAGCUCCUAGGAGGAAAGUUCUAGUGAUACAAAAGGAACUGUACCUUCUGAUUGAUCCUCCAAAAUUGGUCUCAAAGAGAUGGUAGACUUUAUAUUGUAUAUACUUGAUGAGAAUGUGUAUUGUCAGGAGCUUGAACUGAUUUGGGGCUAUUUGAUUCAUUAUUCACCAUCCAUAUAAGUGAAGAGGCAAGCAGAAGUGAAACCUACAUGUUCUGAUUAUCUGAAUUUUCUUUUUUUGUUUUCCUGUUUCUAAGUGAUCUGAGCGCUCAUAUAGUCUAUCACACAGAUUAUUACAUGUAUCAGUUGACUAUUUCCUACCCUUGAGCCUUGUUUGAAGUAGUUAAAAAUAAUGUUAUGACCUGGCAUAACACACCCUUAAUCCAGGCACUGUGGAGACAGGCAGGUGGAUCUGCGUGAGUUCCACAACAGUGAG
rnacentral:lncRNA from 1 species